AACGAACGCUGGCGGCAGGCUUAACACAUGCAAGUCGAACGCUCGUAGCAAUACGGGAGUGGCGGACGGGUGAGUAACGCGUGGGAACGUGCCCUGAGGUACGGAAUAACUGCGGGAAACUGCAGCUAAUACCGUAUGAGCCCCGUGAGGGGGAAAGAUUUAUCGCCUUAGGAGCGGCCCGCGUCGGAUUAGCUAGUUGGUGGGGUAACGGCUUACCAAGGCUUCGAUCCGUAGCUGGUCUGAGAGGACGAUCAGCCACACUGGGACUGAGACACGGCCCAGACUCCUACGGGAGGCAGCAGUGGGGAAUCUUGCGCAAUGGGGGCAACCCUGACGCAGCCAUGCCGCGUGAAUGAUGAAGGCCUUAGGGUUGUAAAGUUCUUUUGCCCGUGACGAUGAUGACGGUAACGGGAGAAUAAGCUCCGGCUAACUACGUGCCAGCAGCCGCGGUAAUGUAGUCGUG
rnacentral:rRNA from 1 species